rnacentral:rRNA from 1 species
GAUGAACGCUGGCGGCGUGCCUAAUACAUGCAAGUCGAGCGAACAGACGAGGAGCUUGCUUCUCUGACGUUAGCGGCGGACGGGUGAGUAACACGUGGAUAACCUACCUAUAAGACUGGGAUAACUUCGGGAAACCGGAGCUAAUACCGGAUAAUAUAUUGAACCGCAUGGUUCAAUAGUGAAAGACGGUUUUGCUGUCACUUAUAGAUGGAUCCGCUCCGCAUUAGCUAGUUGGUAAGGUAACGGCUUACCAAGGCAACGAUGCGUAGCCGACCUGAGAGGGUGAUCGGCCACACUGGAACUGAGACACGGUCCAGACUCCUACGGGAGGCAGCAGUAGGGAAUCUUCCGCAAUGGGCGAAAGCCUGACGGAGCAACGCCGUGUGAGUGAUGAAGGUCUUCGGAUCGUAAAACUCUGUUAUUAGGGAAGAACAAAUGUGUAAGUAACUAUGCACGUCUUGACGGUACCUAAUCAGAAAGCCACGGCUAACUACGUG